ACUGGGCAUGGUAGCACAUACCUGUAAUCCCAGUGGCUUGGGAGGCUGAGGCAGGGGAAUUGCUAGUUCAAAGCCAGCCUCAGCAACUUAGUGAGGUGUUAAACAACUCAGUGAGACCCUGUCUCUA
rnacentral:sRNA from 1 species